rnacentral:rRNA from 1 species
UAUGAAAGGGUUAACGAGGAAGGUGCUGUGUCUAAAAACUUAGUUUAAACUAACUUAAAGGUGAAGAGGCCUUUAUAAGAAAGAAGGACGACAAGACCCUAUGAAGCUUUAUCUUAUUAGGGAUUUGAAAGAUCCUUAUACGAUUUUGAUGGGAGAUCAGUAAAAAUAAGUCUUUUACCAUUAUUUUUAUCUUACAAGUGUUUCCUAAUUUUAUAUGUGUGACUAGCUACUCUAGGGAUAACAGCGCAAUUUCUCCCGAAAGAUGGUGUUGGAGGGGAAGAUUGCGACCUCGAUGUUGGC